UCACUCCACAGAAAAUAAUACAACCCAUAAAUAUCACCUGAUUGAAGAGAGGAAGACCUGGCAGGAAGCUCAGAGUUACUGCAGAGAGAAACACACAGACCUGAUCAGUGGAACGAAGCAGCUACAGGACGCAGAAAAUAUGAUGAAUAUAUCUGGAUACAUAAAGUAUAGGAGAGAACCAAUAUACAUUGGUCUGUUUAGUGACACCUGGAGAUGGUCAGAUGGAAGCACUAUCUCUUUCGAACCCUGGUAUCGACAGUUUUACUAUCAACCUAACAGUGGUCAAUGUGCCGUAACUGUGUUUUAUUAUGGAGGCAUAUGGAGGAAUGAGAACUGUGCUGAAAGAAAACCCUUCAUCUGUUAUUCACAUGAUAAAUUGAUCCUGAUCAAAGAAAAUAAAACCUGGCAUGAGGCCUUAACCUACUGCAGAGGUCACCUCCAUCAUGACCUGGUCACCAUCACCAACAUGGAUGAACAGAAACAGGUUCAGGAGAAAGUCAAGAACGCAUCGACUCCUUUUGUCUGGAUUGGACUGCGUUUCAACUGCAGUAGGAAUGUUUGGUUCUGGGUCUGUGAUAACUGGAUCUGGAAUGAACAAAAUGACUGUAACAUGUUUGGAGCCAUGCAGGCAGGAGGAGAACAUCGGUGGUUCCAAAGAAACGGCAGUGAGAGAUUUAACUUCAUCUGUACUAAAUAAUAAUUCUUCUUUUUAUUAUCACCUUUUCUUUCCCACUUUGUGCUUCUUUUCAGUUGUGGGUUUAAUAAAACUGACAAAACCAUA